GGCCCGGCCGGGCGGUCCGCCCACAGGGCGAGCACUGCUCGUGCGUCGGGUCCCACCUUCUGGCGAGCGCGGAUGCCAUUAAGUUGGUGUCCGCGGGAACCAGGACCUUUACCUUGAAAAAAUUAGAGUGUUUAAAGCAGGCUUCGACGCUUGAAUACAUUAGCAUGGAAUAAUGAAAUAGGACGUUUGAUUCUAUUUUGUUGGUUUCUAGGAUCGACGUA
rnacentral:rRNA from 1 species